ensembl:lncRNA
AUUCAGAGGUAUAGAAGGUUCAAUCCACCAGAAAUGUCUAUUAGGUUUGUAUUUAGCACCACAAAGUACAUACGGGGAUUUAAUGUUUAUCUGAUUAUACUUUUAAAAUCUAUAUUUCUUUAUACUUACAAGCUUAUAAAAAUCGUUCAAAAUAGUCCAUUUGUUUGAUCUUGUUUGAAAGUGUAGCUGUUGAAAUGGCCUAUUUACAGUGAAUCAAUGGUGCUCUAAAUGUGCUGGGAAAUGGAUAUUGUAUGGAUAGAGUAACAGCUCAAGUAAGAACACUGCCUAAUAAAUGUUUAUACACCAUCAAGUCUACAAACAUUAAAUAUCAUUCAUGAUAGAAUCUUUCUUACCCUGCAAUUUGUCUCAAUUUUUCCAUUACCUUCUUUCAUUUUCUCUUCUAGCUUUACUCACAGACAAGCCUCCCAAGCCAUUGUUCCCCAUGGAGAAUCAGCCAAGUGUUAUAGAUGUCCAGCUGGCUCAAAGUUGCCAAAUCUUCAGGAAGCUUUGCCUCAUGGAUGCAGCCCAGUCUCCAACCUGCCAUAAUGAUUCCCUUCUCCCAAUAAACUUUUGUCACUUUUGGAUUCCUGGGUUGCUUUCGUAUGUUUGUUUUGAGAGGUUGAGUGUACUUCCUUUAAUCAGAUGGUAAAAUCUGUGGUCUUUGAUAGCAGAGACCAUGUAUAAUCUUAGUUAUAGACCCAAAGUCUCGAAUACAACAUAUUAUAAAUAGUCUUGAUAGUCUAGAUGGUCUUGAUAGGUGAGGAAACAAAGUAGUAUAGAGGGUAAAUGCAUCUGAAAGAACUGGGUUUCCAAUUGAGCUCUGCCAUCUAUUAGCUGCGUGAACUUCCAGAGGGCAGUUGUCUUAGAAAACUUUGUUUCUUCAUCUGAAAAUGGGAGUCUAUUAAUAUCUAUUUCACAAGAUUGUAUUAAAAUAAUUAUUUGAGAUAACAGGUAAAGUGGUUAGCACAGAGCCUGGCACAUAGGCGUUCAACACAUGGCAGCUAAUAUUAUGGUUGGUGUUUAUUCGGGUGAAUUGCCUAAACAACUGAGCUCUUGAGUCUGCAGUCACUUGCAGGUGUAAUCUGAAACCUUGGCCUCCCUGGUCAACCCCCAAGAUCAUUAUUACCGCUGUGCUACUAUUUCCAGCAUAAGUUCAGCUUUAUUUUCCUUUCUCCUCUUUUGUUCUCUCUCUUGCCUUUCUUUGCUUCAACUCUCCCAGAUGCCUUAUUUCUCUCUCCUAUUUUCUCUUCCUUAAAGAUGACCCUGGGGGUUACGGCAGUUCUUCUGUGUGUUUAGAGCUGUUUUGCACUCCCGAAUGAAAGCAUGAUUGUAUUAUACGAAGUUGAAAUUACAUCACAGAAAUGUGUGGAAGUGUGAGUGUGUGUGCAUAUGUGUGUGUCUGUCUGGGUCUGUGUGUUGAUUUAUCAGUGAUUUGGGGAGGCUUUGUCUAAUAGCUCAAAUCCUGGGGCUUUUCAUCCUGUGAGGAGGGUCUAGAAUAGGAUGGGCAAAGGAUUGUAAUUGCUGCUCUUAUUCUUAAUGGUUUUAAUUGUAAUUAGAAGUGUU